rnacentral:rRNA from 1 species
UACGUAGGGGGCUAGCGUUGUCCGGAUUUAUUGGGCGUAAAGAGCUCGUAGGCGGCUUGUUGCGUCGACCGUGAAAACCCGUGGCUCAACUGCGGGCUUGCGGUCGAUACGGGCGGGCUAGAGUUCGGUAGGGGAGACUGGAAUUCCUGGUGUAGCGGUGAAAUGCGCAGAUAUCAGGAAGAACACCCGUGGCGAAGGCGGCUCUCUGGGACGGUACUGACGCUGAGACACGAAAGCCAGGGGAGCAAACGGG